rnacentral:rRNA from 1 species
GACGAACGCUGGCGGCGUGCUUAACACAUGCAAGUCGAACGGAAAGGCCCUGCUUUUGUGGGGUGCUCGAGUGGCGAACGGGUGAGUAACACGUGAGUAACCUGCCCUUGACUUUGGGAUAACUUCAGGAAACUGGGGCUAAUACCGGAUAGGAGCUCCUGCUGCAUGGUGGGGGUUGGAAAGUUUCGGCGGUUGGGGAUGGACUCGCGGCUUAUCAGCUUGUUGGUGGGGUAGUGGCUUACCAAGGCUUUGACGGGUAGCCGGCCUGAGAGGGUGACCGGGCACAUUGGGCCUGAGCUACGACCCAGACUGCUACGGGAGGCAGCAGUGGGAAGUAUUGCACAAUGGGCGGAAGCCUGAUGCAGCGACGCCGCGUGCGGGAAGACGGCCUUCGGGUUGUAAACCGCUUUCGCCUGUGACGAAGCGUGAGUGACGGUAACGGGUAAAGAAGCACCGGCUAACUACGUG